GCAGACACAGUCCAGCCAAUCAGCAGCAGACCCUCCCUCCCAGACCCUCCCACCUCCUGGACAGCAUCCAUUUUACAUUCAUUGUGAAGCUGCAUUCUUAGUGAGCUGUCCAGGAGGUGGGAGGGUCUGGGAGGGAGGGUCUGCUGCUGAUUGGCUGGAAUGUGUCU